GUGAGGAAUUUUCCGCAAUGGACGCAAGUCUGACGGAGCAACGCCGCGUGCAGGAGGACGCUUUUCGGAGUGUAAACUGCUUUUCUGUGGGACGAGCAAGGACGGUACCACAGGAAGAAGCCCCGGCUAACUACGUGCCAGCAGCCGCGGUAAUACGUAGGGGGCGAGCGUUGUCCGGAGUUACUGGGCGUAAAGGGCAUGCAGGCGGUCGGACGCGUUUCCAGUGACAGCGGGUGGCUUACCUACCCGAGUAUUGGAAAGACGGUUUGACUUGAGGACUCGAGAGGGACACGGAAUUCCGGGUGGAGUGGUGAAAUGCGUAGAGAUCCGGAGGAACAUCGAAGGCGAAGGCAGUGUCCUGGCGAGUAACUGACGCUGAGGUGCGAAAGCUAGGGGAGCGAACGGGAUUAGAUACCCUAGUAGUCC
rnacentral:rRNA from 1 species